rnacentral:lncRNA from 1 species
CGCUGCUUUUCCUGUGCCCAGUUCCCUCACUCUUACUGGACUUGAACGAAUGAGAACAUCAUCGAGCACCAAAUAAUAAUGAUUUAAAAAUCAUGGGAACAAACAGUGAUAAAAAUGAUACUAUUUGUGGAGGAUCUGUGGGUCUGUUUUUUUUACAAGGAGUAUUUCAUUUGAUUCUCAUCUGAUUUUGUAAGGAAAUUACAAUUACUGUGUUUCUAGCCGGGCAAUGAUCUGCAGGACGUGAGAACUUGUUAGAAAUGCUAAUUCUCAGCCCAUCCAGCCUCCACUGACUUAUAUAUGCUGGGAGGCAAAGUCAAGCCCUUGGUGUUUAACAAGCCCUCCUUGGGGGGGCUGACGCAUGUUCAAGUUUGAGAACCACUGUUUUCAGUACUGCUUUGUAUCCCCGAGUGUGAACUUGAGCGGUUCCCCGUGGCAACUGCUCAAUAACAUACCUUUCUGGGGCCUCCUUCCUUUCCUUGUUUCACAUCUUUACUCUUCAGCUGGGCCUUCCUGGGAUCACCUCCAAACAACUACUUGCAUUUGAAUCCUUGCCUCAAGUCUGCUUCCAGAGAACACCAUCUGAGAGAUCUGCAGGGGAAGUGUGGUUGCCCAGAGAGGAGGAGGAAAGUGGCUGCUGCCAUUCAGGAGUGGUGGCCGUGUUAACAGAUGAGGGGAGAGAGGAUGCAGUGGGUGACACUAAUGAAAUCUUAGCCUCAGUCUUUGGCUCAGCUGCUGAAUUUGGAAAAAUUCAAACAUUUAUAAAAGAAAACAGAAUGGUAUUGUGGACUCCACAGACUUGUCACCCAGCUUCAACAAUGAUCAGCUCAGCGUCAAUCUUGGGUGUCUACUUUUCCCAACCUCCAUCCCUGUCAAUGGAGACACCAUACCAUUGCCUCUGUAAAUAUACUGGUAUGUAUCACAUCAUUAAAAGAUAAGCACUCCUUUAUAAAAUAUAAUCACAAAAAUAUCAUAAAUAUAUGUGUCCAAACCUGAAGGAAGUGCAAAACCCAGAGUGAACCAUGGACUUUGAGUGAUAAUGAAAUUUCCAUGUGGCUUCAUCAGUUGUGACAAAUGUACCACUCUGAUGGGGGUUGUUGGUGAUGGGGGACAGUGUGUAGGGGGGAAGGAGAUACACAGUCAAUCUAUGUUCAAUUUUGCUAUAAUCCUAAAACUAUUCUAAAAAGUCUUUACAAAUAGGACAUAACCACAAUACUGUUAUUAAACUCAACAAUAGUUCCUUGGUACUAUUUGUUUACUGUUGUCUCUCACCCCGAGAGUGCUUUCUGAAUCAUUUGGGUCUGUAUCUUGGUGCCCAGCCCAGCACCAGAGACCUGCUGGGUCCUCGGGAACUUUGUGCUGCCUGGACAGCCCUUUGGAUGAACAAGUUGCUGACAGCCCAC